UUUCCACUCCAGAAGAAAAGA
rnacentral:piRNA from 1 species